rnacentral:tRNA from 1 species
GGAGUUGUGGCUCAGAGGUAAAGCGCUCGCCUAGCAUGCGUGAAGCACUGGGUUCAAUCUUCAGCACUACA